rnacentral:rRNA from 1 species
UUGNUNCCCNNGCGGACUUAAGCAUAUCAAUAAGCGGAGGAAAAGAAACUAACAAGGAUUCCCCUAGUAACUGCGAGUGAAGCGGGAAAAGCUCAAAUUUGAAAGCUGGCGUAAGCCCGCGUUGUAAUCUAGAGAAGUGUUUUCAGCCGCUGCCCCGGAAAAGUCCCUUGGAACAGGGCGUCAUAGAGGGUGAGAAUCCCGUCUUUGCCGGACAAACAGCGUCUAUGUGAGGCACUCUCGAAGAGUCGAGUUGUUUGGGAAUGCAGCUCAAAAUGGGUGGUAAAUUCCAUCUAAAGCUAAAUAUUGGUGGGAGACCGAUAGCGAACAAGUACCGUGAGGGAAAGAUGAAAAGCACUUUGGAAAGAGAGUUAAACAGUACGUGAAAUUGCUGAAAGGGAAGCGCUUGGAGUUAGUCGCGUUGGCCGGGACUCAGCCGUCAAGGUGUAUUUCCUGGUUAACGGGCCAGCAUCAGUUUUGAACGUGGAACAAGGGCAGGAGAAAUGUGGCAACCUCGGUUGUGUUAUAGUCUCCUGUCGUACGCCACGAUUGGGACUGAGGAAUGCCUUUUGUAGGAUGCUGGCGUAAUAGCUCUAAGCGACCCGUCUUGAAACACGGACCAAGGAGUCUAACAUGUCUGCGAGUGUUUGGGUGUCAAACCCGUACGCGUAAUGAAAGUGAACGUAGGUGGGAGGCGUAAGCCGCACCAUCGACCGAUCCGGAUCUCUUGUGAUGGAUUUGAGUAAGAGCAUAUAUGUUGGGACCCGAAAGAUGGUGAACUAUGCCUGAAUAGGGCGAAGCCAGAGGAAACUCUGGUGGAGGCUCGUAGCGAUUCUGACGUGCAAAUCGAUCGUCAAAUUUGGGUAUAGGGGCGAAAGACUAAUCGAACCAUCUAGUAGCUGGUUCCUGC